GGGGCUGUAGCUCAGUGGCAGAGCGCUUGCCUAGCAUGUGUGAGGCACUGGGUUCAAGUCUCAGCACCA
rnacentral:tRNA from 1 species